rnacentral:rRNA from 1 species
AGAGUUUGAUCAUGGCUCAGGAUGAACGCUGGCGGCGUGCUUAACACAUGCAAGUCGAACGUGAGGAUGCAGCAAUGUAUCUGAAAGUGGCGGACGGGUGAGUAACACGUGGGUGACCUGCCUCGUAGUGGGGGAUAACCAUGGGAAACUGUGGCUAAUACCGCAUGGUCUUGAUAAGGGUGGACUUUAUCAGGUAAAGCUUUAGUGCUACGAGAGGGGCCUGCGGUCGAUUAGGUAGUUGGCGAGGUAACGGCUCACCAAGCCGAUGAUCGAUAGCUGGUCUGAGAGGACGAUCAGCCACACGGGAACUGAGAGACGGUCCCGACUCCUACGGGGGGCAGCAGUGAGGAAUAUUGGGCAAUGGGCGCAAGCCUGACCCAGCAACGCCGCGUGGAGGAUGAAGGUCUUUGGAUUGUAAACUCCUUUUGCAGAGGAAGAGAGCGGACGGUACCCUGAGAAUAAUCACGAUUUCGCC